rnacentral:rRNA from 1 species
UUUAGGUAGCGCCUCGUGAAUUCAUCUCCGGGGGUAGAGCACUGUUUCGGCUAGGGGGCCAUCCCGGCUUACCAACCCGAUGCAAACUGCGAAUACCGGAGAAUGUUAUCACGGGAGACACACGGCGGGUGCUAACGUCCGUCGUGAAGAGGGAAACAACCCAGACCGCCAGCUAAGGUCCCAAAGUCAUGGUUAAGUGGGAAACGAUGUGGGAAGGCCCAGACAGCCAGGAUGUUGGCUUAGAAGCAGCCAUCAUUUAAAGAAAGCGUAAUAGCUCACUGGUCGAGUCGGCCUGCGCGGAAGAUGUAACGGGGCUAAACCAUGCACCGAAGCUGCGGCAGCGACACUGUGUGUUGUUGGGUA